UAGCCUUGACAUAUUAUAGAAUUCAGUAGAGAUACAGAAGUGCCUUCGGGAGCUAUAUUACAGGUGCUGCACGGCUGUCGUCAGCUCGUGUCGUGAGAUGUUGGGUUAAGUCCCGCAACGAGCGCAACCCUCGUCACUAGUUACUAACGGUUAGGCCGAGGACUCUAGUGAGACUGCCUUCGUAAGGAGGAGGAAGGUGAGGACGACGUCAAGUCAUCAUGGCCCUUACGGCUAGGGCAACACACGUGCUACAAUGGUUAGGACAAUGAGAAGCGAUACCGCGAGGUGGAGCAAAUCUAUAAACCUAAUCUCAGUUCGGAUUGUAGUCUGCAACUCGACUACAUGAAGCUGGAAUCACUAGUAAUCGUAGAUCAGCUAUGCUACGGUGAAUACGUUCCCGGGUCU
rnacentral:rRNA from 1 species